rnacentral:rRNA from 1 species
UACGUAGGGCGCAAGCGUUAUCCGGAUUUACUGGGCGUAAAGGGCGCGUAGGCGGUCAGCACAAGUCAGUUGUGAAAUCUCCGGGCUUAACUCGGAAAGGUCAACUGAUACUGUGCGACUAGAGUGCAGAAGGGGCAACUGGAAUUCUCGGUGUAGCGGUGAAAUGCGUAGAUAUCGAGAGGAACACCUGCGGCGAAGGCGGGUUGCUGGGCUGACACUGACGCUGAUGCGCGAAAGCCAGGGGAGCGAACGGG